rnacentral:rRNA from 1 species
UACGUAGGGGGCAAGCGUUGUCCGGAAUCAUUGGGCGUAAAGCGCGUGUAGGCGGCUAGGUAAGUCUGCUCUGAAAGCCCGGGGCUCAACCCCGGGAGGCGGGUGGAUACUGUCUAGCUCGAGUCCGGAAGAGGAGUGUGGAAUUCCUGGUGUAGCGGUGAAAUGCGCAGAUAUCAGGAGGAACACCAAUGGCGAAGGCACUCUACUGGGCCAAUUACUG